GGAUGGGUGACAGAGCGGUCUAUUGUGCACGCCUGGAAAGCGUGUGUGCCAAAAGGCACCCGGGGUUCGAAUCCCCGCCCAUCCG
rnacentral:tRNA from 1 species